GUACUGAUGAAGAGUCCCCAACUAGGGCGAAACGGCUGUCCAGUAC
rfam:Trichobilharzia regenti genome assembly, scaffold: TRE_scaffold0009451